UACGGGGGGGGCAAGCGUUGUUCGGAAUUACUGGGCGUAAAGGGCUCGUAGGUGGCCAACUAAGUCAGACGUGAAAUCCCUCGGCUUAACCGGGGAACUGCGUCUGAUACUGGAUGGCUUGAGUUCGGGAGAGGGAUGCGGAAUUCCUGGUGUAGCGGUGAAAUGCGCAGAUAUCUGGAGGAACACCGGUGGCGAAGGCGGCAUCCUGGACCGGCAUUGACGCUGAGGCGCGAAAGCUAGGGGAGCAAACGGG
rnacentral:rRNA from 1 species